GAUGAAGAACGCAGCGAAAUGCGAUAAGUAAUGCGAAUUGCAGAAUCCGUGAGUCAUCGAAUCUUUGAACGCACAUUGCGCCCUCUGGUAUUCCGGGGGGCAUGCCUGUUCGAGCGUCAUUUCACCACUCAAGCCUCGCUUGGUAUUGGGCAACGCGGUCCGCCGCGUGCCUCAAAUCGACCGGCUGGGUCUUCUGUCCCCUAAGCGUUGUGGAAACUUUCGCUAAAGGGUGUUCGGGAGGCUACGCCGUAAAACAACCCCAUUUCUAAGGUUGACCUCGGAUCAGGUAGGGAUACCCGCUGAACUUAAGCAUAUCAAUAAGCGGAGGA
rnacentral:misc_RNA from 1 species